UACGGAGGGUGCAAGCGUUAAUCGGAAUUACUGGGCGUAAAGCGCACGCAGGCGGUUGGAUAAGUUAGAUGUGAAAGCCCCGGGCUCAACCUGGGAAUUGCAUUUAAAACUGUCCCGCUAGAGUCUUGUAGAGGGGGGUAGAAUUCCAGGUGUAGCGGUGAAAUGCGUAGAGAUCUGGAGGAAUACCGGUGGCGAAGGCGGCCCCCUGGACAAAGACUGAAGCUCAGGUGCGAAAGCGUGGGGAGCAAACACG
rnacentral:rRNA from 1 species